UACGUAGGUGGCAAGCGUUGUCCGGAUUUACUGGGUGUAAAGGGCGUGUAGCCGGGCUGACAAGUCAGAUGUGAAAUCCGGGGGCUCAACCCCCGAACUGCAUUUGAAACUGUUGGUCUUGAGUAUCGGAGAGGCAGGCGGAAUUCCUAGUGUAGCGGUGAAAUGCGUAGAUAUUAGGAGGAACCCCAGUGGCGAAGGCGGCCUGCUGGACGACAACUGACGGUGAGGCGCGAAAGCGUGGGGAGCAAACAGG
rnacentral:rRNA from 1 species